rnacentral:rRNA from 1 species
GACGAACGCUGGCGGCGUGCUUAACACAUGCAAGUCGAACGAAGAGCGAUGGAAGCUUGCUUCUAUCAAUCUUAGUGGCGAACGGGUGAGUAACGCGUAAUCAACCUGCCCUUCAGAGGGGGACAACAGCUGGAAACGACUGCUAAUACCGCAUACGAUCUAACCUCGGCAUCGAGGAUAGAUGAAAGGUGGCCUCUACAUGUAAGCUAUCACUGAAGGAGGGGAUUGCGUCUGAUUAGCUAGUUGGAGGGGUAACGGCCCACCAAGGCGAUGAUCAGUAGCCGGUCUGAGAGGAUGAACGGCCACAUUGGGACUGAGACACGGCCCAGACUCCUACGGGAGGCAGCAGUGGGGAAUCUUCCGCAAUGGACGAAGGUCUGACGGAGCAACGCCGCGUGAGUGAUGACGGCCUUCGGGUUGUAAAGCUCUGUUAAUCGGGACGAAAGGCCUUCUUGCGAAUAGUUAGAAGGAUUGACGGUACCGGAAUAGAAAGCCACGGCUAACUACGUG